UUAUGAACUCAAAAGCUUUAAUUAGCUUAUCAUAUUUAUAAAAAAAUUAAAAUAAUAAUAAUUUUUUUUUUAGUGUUAAUAAAAUUUUAUAUAGUUAAUAUUAUUUUUUAAAUAACUUAUUUAUUUAAUUAAAAAUUCACUAUAAAAAUAAAAUUUAUAAAUUUAGAAAUAAAAUUAAUAUAUUAAUAAUAUAAGGUUAAUUAAAUGCCAGCAUCCGCGGUUAUAUUUAAUUAAAUUAUUAAUUGUUUUUUUUGAAAUUAUAUUAUAAGAAAAAAGUGAAAUUUUUAUUAUUAUUAAUAUUCAAAAUUAGAUUAAAAACAAGAUUAGGUACCUUGAUAUUAGUUUAAAAAAGAAUAAUAAAUAAUUUAAAUAAUUUGGCGGCUAAUAUUAAUAGAGAAACUUGUGUUUAAUAGAAAAUACUCUAAAAAAUAAAUUUUAAUUUAAGCUUUAUAUCGCCGUUAAUUAUUUAUUAAAUGUUUAAAAAAAAUAUUUUUCAGGUAAAAUAAACUUUAUAUAAAAAUAAAUAUUAGUUUUAAUAUUUUUUUUUCUGAUUUAAAAGUAAAAAGAAAAUUUAUAACCAAAUUAGUAAAAACAUAUUAAUUAAAAAUUUUUUAUUAGUGCACAUAUCGCCCGUCAUUUUAAUAACAUUAAAAAAGUCGUAACAAAGUGGAUUUGUUAGAAAAUAAAUCUU
rnacentral:rRNA from 1 species